rnacentral:rRNA from 1 species
GACGAACGCUGGCGGCGUGCUUAACACAUGCAAGUCGAACGGAAAGGCCUGCUUUCCCUUGUGGAUUGCGGGUACUCGAGUGGCGAACGGGUGAGUAACACGUGAGUGAUCUGCCCCCAACUUGGGUAUAAGCCUGGGAAACUGGGUCUAAUUCCCGAUAGGACUGCAGGGUGGUGCCUGUGGUGGAAAACGAUUUUCUAGUGGUUGGGGAUGAGCUCGCGGCCUAUCAGGUUGUUGGUGGGGUAAUGGCCUACCAAGGCGGCGACGGGUAGCCGGCCUGGGAUGGUGGACGGCCACAUUGGGACUGAGUUACGGCCCAGACUCCUACGGGAGGCAGCAGUGGGGAAUAUUGCACAGUGGGCGGGAGCCUGAUGCAGCGACGCCGCGUGGGGGAUGACGGCCUUCGGGUUGUAAGCUCCUUUCGACCGCGAGGAAGCCACCUGGUUGGAAGGGUGGUGACGGUAGUGGUAGAAGAAGCACCGGCUAACUACGUG